AAGGAAUAUUGCUCAAUGGGAGAAAUCCUGAAGCAGCAACGCCGCGUGGAGGAUGAAGGGUCUAUGACUUGUAAACUCCUGUAAAGAAGGAAAAAAUUCCCAUUUGAUGGGAGAUGAUGGUACUUCUGGAGUAAGCCCCGGCUAACUACGUGCCAGCAGCCGCGGUAAUACGUAGGGGGCAAGCGUUGUCCGGAUUUACUGGGUGUAAAGGGUGCUCAGGCGGAUUUGUAAGUCAGAGGUGAAAUCUUACAGCUUAACUGUGAAACUGCCUUUGAUACUGCAAGCCUAGAGUAUGGAAGAGGGUGAUGGAAUAUCUGGUGUAGCAGUGAAAUGCGUAGAUAUCAGGUAGAACACCAAUGGCGAAGGCAGUCACUUGGUCCAUUACUGACGCUAAAGCACGAAAGCGUGGGUAGCAAACA
rnacentral:rRNA from 1 species